rnacentral:tRNA from 1 species
GGGCGGUUAGCUCAGUUGGUUAGAGUACUUGCUCGACACGCAAGGGGUCACAGGUUCGAAUCCCGUACCGCCCAUCA